rnacentral:rRNA from 1 species
CAAUGGGCGAAAGCCUGACGGAGCAAUACCGCGUGAGGGAGGAAGGCUCUUGGGUUGUAAACCUCUUUUCUCAGGGAAGAAAAAAAUGACGGUACCUGAGGAAUAAGCAUCGGCUAACUCCGUGCCAGCAGCCGCGGUAAUACGGAGGAUGCAAGCGUUAUCCGGAAUGAUUGGGCGUAAAGCGUCCGCAGGUGGCGAUGAAAGUCUGCUGUUAAAGAGUGAGGCUCAACCUCAUAAAAGCAGUGGAAACUACAUAGCUAGAGUACGUUCGGGGCAGAGGGAAUUCCUGGUGUAGCGGUGAAAUGCGUA